rnacentral:rRNA from 1 species
GUCUGCAGCCCUACUUCCGUGACUGUUUCCAGUCUGGUCUGAUAUUGGAAGCUAAGCAGGGUCAGCCCUGGUUAGUGGUUGGAUGGGAGACUGAGGUCAGAGGGCAAACC